rnacentral:rRNA from 1 species
ACGUAGGGUGCGAGCGUUAAUCGGAAUUACUGGGCGUAAAGCGUGCGCAGGCGGUUCUGAAAGUCAGCUGUGAAAGCCCCGGGCUUAACCUGGGAAUGGCGGUUGAAACUAGAGGACUAGAAUCUGGCAGAGGGGGGUGGAAUUCCACGUGUAGCAGUGAAAUGCGUAGAGAUGUGGAGGAACACCGAUGGCGAAGGCAGCCCCCUGGGCUGAGAUUGACGCUCAGGCACGAAAGCGUGGGGAGCAAACAGGAUUAGAUACCCUGGUAGUCCACGCCCUAAACGAUGUCAACUAGGUGUCGGGAGCGCAAGUUCUUGGUACCGCAGCUAACGCGUGAAGUUGACCGCCUGGGGAGUACGGUCGCAAGAUUA